rnacentral:lncRNA from 1 species
CUCUCACUGACUCUAUAUUUUUCUUCUCCCCUGCUCACAGGCUUUUUGAUGAUACUCAGCUUCUUGUAAGCAGUGCUGGUGGUACUUAGGAGCACUUAGCUAAAGCAGUCACUAAAAUUGUCAGUACUAUGCAAACUGAAGCAGAUCAAGUCAAGAAAGGAGCUUUGUCACUUAACUUUGAUGAUGUUGAGGUUUAAGUUAGCUUUUCUAUUCUUUCUUUCUUGCAGUUUAUAUAAUUGUUAUUACUUGAUGGUGUAAGAGAUGUUGCUAAUGCUCUGGUUGAUCUAACUAAUGCCACUCAAGUUGCUUGGGGCAAGAGUGUCAGUCACCCUUUUAUAGAGAACCUUAAAAAAUUGCUAAGCUAUAGUCGAUUCUUAAAGACAAUUAAGAAUGUUCAAAAUGAAGCUGCUCAUGCAGGGCAUUUAAUUGCUUGAAAAGACCAUUGACUCCUUUGAAAGUGACCUUAUGGAAUUCCAAUCUUCUAAGCCACCACAAUUAGUUAAAGCUAAAGCUACCCCAGAGAAACUUCUCUAAGUCACCCAAGCCAUUGCUCUUGCCUCCUCAAAAACAGUCACAGCCAGAAACAGCUGCUAGUAGGUUGAUGUAUCAGCAGCUGCUAAUCUCAGAUACCAAGCUGUUCAUGAUCUCCUGUUGAUUAGCAAAGCAGUUGCACAAAACUUUACACAGACUAAAGAACUGGCUGAAAAGUCAUGGCCUGUUUUUAAGAAUAUGCCAUUGCCUAUAAAGCUUUGCUGCAGUUCCUACAUCACAUUGUACUUAAAUCAGAUAACUCCUCCCUUCGUGUUAAGCUCCUCUCAUUCACAAGAGAGGUUGCUAGUGCUGUCAGUGACAUUGUUAAGAUUACCAGUGAGUUUAAGUAAGGAGCUGGUUUCAUUGUUGAUAUGAGUAAUCCUGAGGUCAGAGCUAAACAAGAACUCCUUGCAGCUGCCACCUCUAUUGAAGCUGCGUUGAUGUAUCUUUCAAAAUUGUUAUUGUUUCAUUUCUCACUGAUUCAGACCACUGAUGCUCAUUUGAAUUUUGAUGCUCAGAUCCUUGAGGCUGCCAAGAGCAUUGCAGCUGCCACCAAGAGCCUGGUACAGUCGGCUAUAGACACUCAACGCGGGAACUGACAGAACAAGGGAAAAGUAGAUCUUUCCUUGCCUUGCAGAUAGUCUGUGGUCUGAUGGACUUGUUUCUGCUGCCAAGUUAGUAGCUGAGUUAACCUGUCAGUUAUGUGAAGCAGCUAGUGAUGUGGUUCAAGGUGAAGGUGAUGCACAGGAAGGAAGACUCUUUUGGGGCCUCUAAUGCAGUUGCUGCUACUACUGCACAACUCCUUUAUGCUGUUUAAGUUAUGGCUGAUCCCACUCUGAAAAUAAUAAGAGACUACAAGCAAAGAAUAUGGGAGAGAGAGAUGAAUGGAGAAGAGGGACAGUAAGGAGUGAAUGGAGAUAUACAGGAACACGAAGCUGAUUGUAUUGUUAUUAUUAUUUAUUAUUGAUCAAUAGAGAGCUGGCCAACAAGUCAAGAAGGCUACAGAGACACUUGUCAAAGCAGCAAAAGACUCAGCUGACAAUGCAAUGGAAAGAAAGGUUGAUGCAUUUGAAGAGUUAAUUAGAUAUAGUAAAAAUCCAACUCUAAUCAUGGAAGCUCAAGCACGGAUUGCUGAAAAACAGAGAGAAUUAGAACUGCUCUACCAAGAACUAAUUGGGAUCCAUCAAAAGAAAUGAGUAAUUAAAAACCUUUAAAAACAAUAGUCACUUUUACAACAUUUGUGAUAACUUUGGAAGGCGGAAGACCAUUACGAGAGACUAGAUGAUAAUUAAGGACAAAAAGAGGAGGGAGAGAAGGAGAGACAGA